rnacentral:rRNA from 1 species
GAACUGAAGAGUUUGAUCAUGGCUCAGAUUGAACGCUGGCGGCAGGCCUAACACAUGCAAGUCGAGCGGAUGAAGGGAGCUUGCUCCUGGAUUCAGCGGCGGACGGGUGAGUAAUGCCUAGGAAUCUGCCUGGUAGUGGGGGAUAACGUCCGGAAACGGGCGCUAAUACCGCAUACGUCCUGAGGGAGAAAGUGGGGGAUCUUCGGACCUCACGCUAUCAGAUGAGCCUAGGUCGGAUU